CAUCCCAAGGUCACGUGGCCCCCAAGGUCAUUUCAAGGUCACGUGACCCCCAAGGUCACGUGACCUUCAGGGGGUCACGUGACCUUGAAAUGACCUUGGGGGUCACGUGACCUUGGGA
rnacentral:pre_miRNA from 2 species